UCUGAAGUGUGUGACAAGUUCCAGGGCCCAGAGGGAAAAAUAUUCAAUUCCCAAUGAGCACCCCACCCUCGACAAAUGCAGGAGAGACAUGGGGGUCCUUCAAGCUUUCGUCGAAAAAUAAGAGUCAUGAGUGAAAAAGAAGGAAUUGAAGGGGGGCUUGGGGGGGAGGCUCUAUGUCUUUUCUUACUGGACUCAAACUUUCCUAAGUGCCCACCACCAGCCUCUCCCAGCACACCUCAAGUAGAGAUUAUCGUCACCGCCACUAACACUUUACAUAAACUCACAGAAACCCCUGCCCAAGACAGGCCCAGGGUAGAGGGCAAGAACCCAAAGGUGAGGCUCACUGAGUGCGGGGACCCUGCACCCCCAAAAUGCACACUCAACACACUUCUCCUGCCCCGCCCCCUCCCCAACCUAGCCAAGAAACUGCUUUGGUCCGAGAGGCUACUGGCCAGAUUUGGGGGGGGGGGGCUGUAAGCACGUGGUAACCUCUCAACGGCCCCAGAGUUAAGGACAAGAGGAACCUAAAAGAGUACCCCGGGUGCAGUUGAAGGGACUAGCAAAACUCGCCUUUACAGUUGCUUUGCAAAAUUAAAAAAAAAAAAAUGUUUUGCAAAACCGAGUUUCAUCCAGCAGCUUUCGCUGUCUGAGAGGUCGGUGGGAGGGUUGGGUAUUGUGCUAGGGGCGGACCAGAGCGCAGGCCGGGCUGGCGGAGUCGCAGCGUGGCCUGCCGCCCUGCCUGGCGGGUGGGCGGCGAGCGCCGGGUGGGCGAUCUCGACUCCAGACUAGGGCACGGCGAGGUCGGGCGAGGCCCAGCCGCUGCGGCCGCCUGCUCCAGGGCUGCCGCGGCGCGCUCGGUCCUCUGUCUGUUUGUUGGCAGGAGGCUCCCGCACACGCGGUGCUUGUAAACAUUCAGACACGAGAUUUUUCCCAAUCAAAAUCCACUUCCACUUUUUUUGAAAAUCUUCCAAAAAAUAGGCUCACCCAGGAGGGGCGGGCAGCAGCAACCCAGCAGCGGAGACUCCUGCACCCGCCCGCCCUCCCUCUACCGCGUGCCCCUGGCUGCCUCUUCGCUCGGCCCUUGCUCCUGCCCUUCGGCAGCGGUGGCGGCGCAGGAGGGCAAGCGCGAGGAGCCCGCACAAAAGGCGGCGGGACAAACACCCACCUCCGGCCGGAACAAAAGACGGCAGCGCCGGGCGCGACUCCGGUCCUUCCCGGUCACCCGGCCCUCCCAGCCGCUGCAGCCCCUCUCCCCGGACUCGGCUGACUGGGAAGCGCCAGCGGCUCUCUUCUACAGUCCCACUUUCGUACUAUUGUGGGGGUGACUACUUUCCUCCCACUGCACACUUGACCAUGCACACGUUGGCGUCCUAAGGCCGGUCUCACCUCUUUUCUCCCCAGGAAUUGUUUUUCAGACUUGACUCCCUCCCUCCCCCCCCCUCCAUUUUCCUAUAGUGAAGUGGAAACAACCCCCUUUCCUUCAAGCUCCCACCCCCAGGUUUGCAUGUGAGUGUCCGCGUCCUUAGCAUUGUUCAUUAUUUUUGCAAAACUAGGGUAGAAAUCAUUGCAUUCCUUUUUCAAAGAAGGAAUAAAGCGGCGGAGAGAAGGAAA